CAUUUCUUCUUUGAAAAUGAGCAUGAGCUUCAGAGAUAGGCCUGGCUCCGGGCGCUCAGGUUCUCUGGGGGGGAAAUUUGGUGCGGCAGGUCGCUCAGGCUCGCCGAGUAGAAUGGGCAAGCCAAAAAAACAGGGCCUUGAUGAUGAGGGCCUUGAAGAAGCUAGGGAGGCC
rnacentral:ribozyme from 1 species